CUACGGGGGGCAGCAGUGGGGAAUAUUGCACAAUGGGCGCAAGCCUGAUGCAGCCAUGCCGCGUGUGUGAAGAAGGCCUUCGGGUUGUAAAGCACUUUCAGCGGGGAGGAAGGCGUUAAGGUUAAUAACCUUGGCGAUUGACGUUACCCGCAGAAGAAGCACCGGCUAACUCCGUGCCAGCAGCCGCGGUAAUACGGAGGGUGCAAGCGUUAAUCGGAAUUACUGGGCGUAAAGCGCACGCAGGCGGUCUGUCAAGUCGGAUGUGAAAUCCCCGGGCUCAACCGGGGAACUGCAUUCGAAACUGGCAGGCUAGAGUCGUGUAGAGGGGGGUAGAAUUCCAGGUGUAGCGGUGAAAUGCGUAGAGAUCUGGAGGAAUACCGGUGGCGAAGGCGGCCCCCUGGACAAAGACUGACGCUCAGGUGCGAAAGCGUGGGGAGCAAACAGGAUUAGAUACCCGAGUAGUC
rnacentral:rRNA from 1 species